rnacentral:rRNA from 1 species
CCUACGGGCGGCUGCAGUGGGGAAUAUUGGUCAAUGGGCGCGAGCCUGAACCAGCCAAGUAGCGUGAAGGAUGACUGCCCUACGGGUUGUAAACUUCUUUUAUAAAGGCAUAAAGUGAGGCACGUGUGCCUGUUUGUAUGUACUUUAUGAAUAAGGCUCGGCUAACUCCGUGCCAGCGGCCGCGGUAAUACGGAGGAUCCGAGCGUUAUCCGGAUUUAUUGGGUGUAAAGGGAGCGUAGAUGGGUUGUUAAGUCAGUUGUGAAAGUUUGCGGCUCAACCGUAAAACUGCAAUUGAUACUGGCAGCCUUGAGUACAGGUGAGGCAGGCGGAAUUCGUGGUGUAGCGGUGAAAUGCGUAGAUAUCACGAAGAACUCCGAUUGCGAAGGCAGCUUACUAAACUGCCACUGACAUUGAUGCUCGAAAGUGUGGGUAUCAAACAGGAUUAGAUACCCUGGUAGUC